AGAUACCCUGUUACUUAUAAUUAAAAAAUUUUGGAAUAGUAAUAAUAAUGAAAUUUAACGGAUUUGGCGGCAAGAUAGCCAUUUAGAGGAACCUGCCCUAUAAACGAUGAACCACGAAAUACUUUGCUUUUACUUGUUAUCAGUUUGUAUACCGCUGUUGUCAGUCAGUUUUUUCAGAAAUCUUUCUAUAAUGAUAAAAUCAAUUACUUCAAGUAAAGGUGCAGCUUAUGUAAAAGAUAGAGGUGGGUUACAUUUAUAAGAUUAAAACGAAUAAAGAUUUGAAAAAUCUUUUGAAGGUGGAUUUAAAUGUAAAGUUUAAAAAAACU
rnacentral:rRNA from 1 species